UAUUUACCUGUGGGGACACAGGAGCAGCGUUUAAAGGUCUUUGGGUUGGAACAGAAGCAAUGACGUUGACACUCUUGGACACCACCAGCAGUUCCCUGCUGGCAGCAGCUGCUGCUUCUCUGGUGGCCUCUGCAGGUGUGGAUCCUCUGACACCUAAUGCUGCAGGUAAUCACAACCUCCUGUACCCCCGUGCUGCUCCCCUCCCUGACCCUGCCUCAAGGACUGCUGUAGGACAUGACUAACUGGAGAAUUUACUCCAGGGCACGAAGUGGGAAAGAUGCCAAGUCUGCCCACCCCACUUUCUAGGAGAAAGAAAACGCACAAGAUUCUCAGAGGCUUUUUCCCCCCACUGAACUUAACAUCUGCUGGAACAAAUAUUUCUACAGCCUCCCAUCUGCCAGCUCAUCUAUCUCCAAAAAUCAGCAAGGUUAACAAAGACCUGCUACUUGGCAGCUACUGAACGUGACCUGGCUCACCUCAGGAACUGCUCCUGUGUGGGCUGAGCACGUGUGCAAGUCCCAAGGUGGGCUGAAGGUACAUGCACAGCUUGGAACAACAAGCCCUUGCAAACAAAGCUUGUCCUACCCAUAAAUACCAAGGACUAUCACAACUCCAAACUACACUUAGAGCACAGUACUAACUUUUCCGGAGGGGUGAGAACAAAUGGAAGGAGAAACCCAGAGCACAUGUACAGAUGGCAUGUGUGAAAAACUGCACUGCUCACCCAGUCUGCUUUUCCUUGUGAUGUAUGGAAUGGACAUCAUGUCAUAUCCAGCAAAUCCUCAUGGGCUGCAUGGUGAACAAAAGAUGUGGAGGAAAUGGAAAACAUUUCAGGACACUGAGGCACUGCCAGAUUGCCAGGCUCAAGUAGAGCUGAACUGGGCCAUUGGUGGUUAUACAAAGGCAUAACUGAAAUGAUUGUCCACCUUGAAGAAGCCUCAUAGAUAAAGAUAUGCAGCACCUCAGUACAAGUGAUAUUUCUGCCUUACAUUUUGUCCAAACAACUUUGAAAAAGCACUAAGAUUGCUCAAACAAAUUUCUAGUGUGGGGAAAGCAAACAGAACAUUCUGCAUACCUGCAGGAAUUCUGGCAGAACUAGAAGGCCCCGUAAGGGAUCACAGAAGAGACUCCAAGGGCACAAAUCAGCUCAGCAAAGGAACAACAGAAAAAGCAGCCACACACCAUGACCUGAGCAGGCUGGAAGUGCAGCAGGAAGGGCUGGCAGGCUGUGCCCUAACAGAAAUGUAUCACUGCCACCAGCUCCUUCUCACAGAAGCACCUCCAUCCCAGCACUAAUGAAUCCAUCCCAUUCCAGACCCCAUCCAAGCACAGGGAAGAAGCAGUCCAGCAAUGUUUUGGCAGUGGCUGCCUAGGAGCAAUUCCAUACAGCUGCCAGCUCUCUCCUGUGGAGGUGUUCCCUCCCUGCUGUGCAGCCAGACAGCUGUGCCAGCCCCUGACUCAAGGCUUUUCACAGGAAACCAGCAUAAAGUGGGGAAAAAUCAGGAAGUUUUCCCUCAUCAAAUUUGUAUUUUAAUGCCCUUUUGUCUUGAUCUGUUUUAAAUACAAAAAGGAUCAUGACAGUACAUGCUGUGAGCUGUCUAAGCCUUUGAGGAGUUUCUGUGCACAUCAGCUUAAGAGCAGGUAACGUUUAAAUGCAAACAGACCCCGGAGCUCCCUCCAUCAUCCCUGCUCUUUACUCUCACUGCUUACACGGAUUUACUGGACUUAAAGAAAAAGCAACCCUGAAGGCUUGAGAGAUGCAGCCAUAAACCCUCUUAAAGGGGCCGUAUUUGCUCACUAACCAUGGUAAGGAACAGAAUAGCAGCACCCAAGAAGGCAGAGAGCAGCAGCACACAGCACGUGUGUGUUCUGCAGCAGCUCUUUCCUCUCAGUAGCUGGAGAAUGUCACCCAUAGCACAGGUGCUACUCAGCCCAGCUCCAUGCUGGGUUCCAGAAACACAGAAGCACAGGCAUGGAAAGUGUGGGACAGCCCUGGUUGCCUCUGCCAGCACAGCAGCUGGGCAACACUACCCAAGCUCUGAAUCCAAGGAUAUUCAUCUUCCAACAUCCCUUCCAAACCACCCCCAAAGGCCAGAACAGCCACUUCUUACACAUUCCCCUGAGAAAUUUUAUCCCCCGAGUUACACUAGAUAUUUUUAAAAUUCAGUAGAGAAAAAUAGCAAAAAAUGGCUUAGUGCUAAAUAUUUAUUCUACAACCCCAUCCCUGUGCACCAUCUGCUCAAGCUUCAGCAGCCCAUGGUUUCCAUGCAGCCAGUCAGUGCACUGACAGGGAAACAAAGCAACAUAAGCACAGCUCCAUGUCAAACUACCCAGAAGACCAUAGCAUUGCCUGGAAAUCAAAGGGAAUGGAGACACAAGAUCCAGUUGUCUUCAGGUGUGUGGUAGGUGCUGCAGGGGGGCACCCUGAGCCUCUGCAUACAAUGGAAUGGUUUCUUGGGAAUUCCCAAAUAAGCAGAACAGCUCCCAAGGUUCUUGAAGGAAAAGUCCUCUCUAAAGACCUGCACUCUGCACCCACAGGGGACAGCUGGGGCAGGAGGCUGGGAUUCACAGCUUGGGACAGACACAUCUCUGUGGCCACAGUGUUUUCCUGGUGGCUGACAGGAGAAACAAUGGCCAUGGGACGUGCUGUACCUGUGCUGACUCCUUCCUGUGGCCAGAGCCCAGGAUCUGCUGACACAUCAUCUGUGCAGCUGCUGUGUGGGAGCAGGAGCCUCCAGGCUGGACAGCAGCACGUUCUUCAGUGCUGGGAACAGGCUCCUUACACCCAACACCCUCUGUUAACCCAGCACUGUUCCUGGUGCCUCAAGCAUAUCUCCAUUCACACACCAUUCAAACCAAGCUAUUUCUAGCACAAGCCUCUACAGAACCCAUUUGUGGGGAUUUUAAAGGACUGCUCUCCCUGCUUCUGCAUAAAACACAUCACCUGGAGCUGAGGAGUGCAAGUAUGGGACCAGUGCUCUCCUUGGAGGGGUGUGGGAUCCAGCAAUGCUCUGCAUCAGUGUACAGAAGCCAAAGUACCACCACUGGAGGUGCAGCAGUGUAGAUCACAUUGAGCCCUUGUGUCACACAGUGCCACUGCAUGACUUGGAGCACCUGGACAGCACAGAUGGGAGCACAAACAGCUCUCUGCUGUGCCAGGGUGAGCCAGUGCUGGCAGAGUGAGAGCACCACCCUCGGCUUCACAUCCAGAGAGGCAAGAUCCCAUAGGACCAGCUGCAGAAUGGCUCCUGCACCAGCAGAUCGAGGUCUAGUGGCACAGGGAGGAAAAACAAAGCAAAACGUCAGUGUCUCCUUCCACCUGCCCUGCCUACAGCUGGGCUAGUGCUGGUGGACUGCAAGAGCUGGUCAGUCCACCCUGGCACACCUGAUGCUGCCCCAACCUUUCACCAGGUAUGAGGGAGGGAGUGAGUGAGGGAGUGUGGGAGUGUGCAAACACUUGGAGUAGGGCUCAGGCCCAGCAAAGCACUGAAUGCAACCAGGCAGCUACACAGCAUGGAGCAGCCAAGCACCCUGCAACAGUUACAGGUGAGCACCAGCAUCAUGUGUGGCAGCAAUAGGGACAGACAGAGCCUGGCACACAGAGCCUGGCACAGCAGGGAGUCAUUUCAGGGCUGGGUGCAAGCACACAGCCAAACAAGCAGCUUCCAGAGCAGACGUGUGGGCUCUCGAGCUCCGCAGCCACCAGUGAGAACAAGAAUACAAAUGCAUGCCUCUUGCUGAAAUUGUUUUACAACGUAGGUUACAUAUAAAUUCCAACUGUUACAUGGCCUAAAUUAAAGUAUGGCUAUGUUAAAAACAAGACCCAGUUGCCAAGCAAUCAGUUUUCACUUUCCCAGUAGGUUUUUGACUUCCCUCUAUGUGAAUAUACUCAGCUAUUGGCAAAAACAUCUCCAAAUGGCACGAACUGCACUUCUUGAAUUCUGUGAUCAGUCACUACAUAAAAAUUGAUUAGUGGAAGAAUCAAAGCCAUUAUGAAAACAUACUCUGUAUCUUGUGGGCAGAUAAAUUCAUGGAGGUGCUGGAAGAAAAACCACAACACAUUAAACCAGAGUCACUUUAUAUGCAGAGAGAGAGAGAUGUUCUACCUGGAAUCCAAUCCACUGCCAACCAGCUUUUGCAUUAGUAUAAGCUUGUGCCAUCCAUCAGCAGCUAAGCCCACACUGUCACAGCUCUCGGGAGUUUGGGAACAUCUUACACUGUUUGUGAGUAAAGCAUUUUGCUUUUUAUCCUUUACAGAAACACAAAUUUCUAGUAGAGCCUCACCAGUGUGAGGCUGUGCAGAAAUAAGUUAGCAAGGCUGGCAGUGAGUCAUGAAGUGUACAGCAGCACUGUUAAAUCAAGAGCCAUUACAUAAGAACACCCCAAGAUGCCCCUGCUCUACAAGCCCACCCUGCUGGCUGCAGCAACACGAGCGGUGACAAAACAUGUUCUUGAUGAGCACACAGGUGCUGCCAGGAAAUUGGAGGUCCUGUGCCAAGCACCUGAGAGGCCCCCUCAGUGCUUCCAGCACUCCCGAGCAGUGUCAGCUCUGCAGACCUGCAGGAUGGAAGUCACAGCAACGACAACCUUGUGACUCAGUCUCAUGGGACAAUGCAAGGCUAUGACCACGGGCUGCCAGUUAAGAGCCGUGAAACAUCCAUCAAGAGCCACAAGGGGAAGGAUGUGACAGCAGGCACUUUUGCAUCGGGCACUGGCAUUAAGCAGGCUCGCAGAUCCAGGCUGGCAAACAGAUUCCCUCACCUGCAGAGUCCAGGAAGGAAGCCACACGCUCGCCACAGGCACUGUGCUCCAUGCAGAUUUUAUCUUUAGGCUGUUCCUCUGCAGUGACAAAAGUGCCAGCAGCCUCUCACCAGCAGGAAGCCCUCUGAGCAGGAGCAUAGGCCCAGCCCUCGGCCGUGCAGGGUUCAGGACACCCUGCAUUCCCAGACAACCCCACCAGCUGACGAGACACAAGAUUAAUGAACUUUUGCUUCAGAAGUACUUGCUUGUGGUAGGAAAUAUCCCCAGCCUUGUCCUUUCAGGUUUCUCAAAAUCAGCACUUAACCCUUCAAGGAGCCACAGAGGAAGGGUGUCAGUUAUCUGCCACUCUCAAAGGCUCUUACCAGCAGAUCACUGAGUUUGGGGCAAGCAGAUAAAAUUAUUUGUGAAUUAUGCCUCUCAGGUGGACAGACAGAUUACAAAACAGUCUCACAGUCAUGCAUGACAAAGAGAUUUUGGCUGGCAGGAAGUGUUUUGGUACACAGGUCCCUUUUUCUUCAACUUUUGGAGAAAGAAGUACAGUGAUUUCUGUUCAAUCACGCAUAAGCUGUACAAGAGUUAGUCCUAUGAGACACACUAAGCAAGUAGCCUGAAUUCAGAGAUUUUCCAGUGGUCUAAUUCUGUUAAGUGAUAUCUGCACCUUUGUUAAUAACAACAGAACAUGCAUGUCUCUAAACAUUAUAGUAAGGAUUCAAGAUGAAUGGCAGUGUGUUCUUCCAGAGGCACUGACAUUCCCACAGGCUGCAAGGAAUCAACACAUGUGAGUUCUCUUAUCAAUGGUACAUUCAUACUGUGAUUUCCAGAUUAUAACUAAAACCUGAGGAACAAAAUCCCAUCCAGGUCUGGAAUGGUGCACCCAUAGAAACUGGCAGUGCUUUCCCUUAGAGUAACACUUCAGAAUAUAUUAAGCUGACAUUCUUUCCUUAGUUGUGUACAGCUUAGUGAAACGAAGUUGGAAUAUCAUAGCUCUUCAAAAUACAGGUGAAGAGAAGAUCUUGCACAGCCACAGGCAACAAAUCCUCAUUAAAAGUCUUUUCCCAUUACAAGCUGCAACAUCCCCCUUUCUGCAGUUUCUGCCUGGCACUCAGCAUGCCUUGCUCUGUGCACAAACAUUCUGUCCGGAUACAUGGACUUAACAGGAUGAAUGUUCAAAUCCUUUUCACAGCAGAAGUAAAUUCAAAAUGCCUAUUUGUCCAGGAUUUGUGUCAUUCUCCCUCUAGACCAAGCUGUGUUUUCUGGGAAUUCCCAGCCCUGCUGCUCCUAGCCCCGCUACUCCACUCCACUUUUGAAGAAAAGUGGAAGAAAAAUGAAGAAAAAUGUACAAGCUCCACCAAAUACUCAGAAUUUCAGACACAAGCAUGUUACAACUCCCUUUCCCUGUUUAUCCAACAAAUCAGUCAUCAGGAUGUAGUUUUGCCCUGUGGAACAGUAGUGCUGGAAAUUCAAGUUACCAUCCCCACUGCCAGGCUGGCUGCUUCCAGUGCACAUCACCAUCUGCAGACAGGGACACACAGAGCACGGGAGCACUGCUGCCCUUCUGCUCCCUCCUGGAUGUGGAAAUGACUUUUACAGCCAC